GACAGAGGUCCCAAGCGUUAGGCGGAAUCACUGGGCUUAAAGCGUGUGUAGGCGGACUUCUAAGUACCUUGUGAAAUCCCACGGCUCAACCGUGGAACUGCUUGGUAUACUGGUUGUCUUGGGCCAUCUAGGGGCUAGCGGAACAAACGGUGGAGCGGUGAAAUGCGUAGAUAUCGUUUGGAACGCCAAUGGUGAAAACAGCUAGCUGGGGAUGUGCCGACGCUGAGACAGAAAGCCAGGGGAGCGAACGGG
rnacentral:rRNA from 1 species